rnacentral:rRNA from 1 species
UAGUUUGAUCCUGGCUCAGAGCGAACGCUGGCGGCAGGCUUAACACAUGCAAGUCGAGCGCCCGUAGCAAUACGGGAGCGGCAGACGGGUGAGUAACACGUGGGAACGUACCUUUCGGUUCGGGACAACCCAGGGAAACUUGGGCUAAUACCGGAUACGCCCUUCGGGGGAAAGAUUUAUCGCCGAAAGAUCGGCCCGCGUCCGAUUAGCUAGUUGGUGAGGUAACGGCUCACCAAGGCGACGAUCGGUAGCUGGUCUGAGAGGAUGAUCAGCCACAUUGGGACUGAGACACGGCCCAAACUCCUACGGGAGGCAGCAGUGGGGAAUAUUGGACAAUGGGCGCAAGCCUGAUCCAGCCAUGCCGCGUGAGUGAUGAAGGCCCUAGGGUUGUAAAGCUCUUUCGGCGGGGAAGAUAAUGACGGUACCCGCAGAAGAAGCCCCGGCUAACUUCGUGCCAGCAGCCGCGGUAAUACGAAGGGGGCUAGCGUUGCUCGGAAUCACUGGGCGUAAAGCGCACGUAGGCGGAUUUCUAAGUCAGGGGUGAAAUCCUGGAGCUCAACUCCAGAACUGCCUUUGAUACUGGAGAUCUCGAGUCCGGAAGAGGUGAGUGGAACUGCGAGUGUAGAGGUGAAAUUCGUAGAUAUUCGCAAGAACACCAGUGGCGAAGGCGGCUCACUGGUCCGGUACUGACGCUGAGGUGCGAAAGCGUGGGGAGCAAACAGGAUUAGAUACCCUGGUAGUC